rnacentral:rRNA from 1 species
GUACACUCCUGCGGGAGGCAGCAGUGGGGAAUUUUGGACAAUGGGGGCAACCCUGAUCCAGCAAUGCCGCGUGAGUGAAGAAGGCCUUCGGGUUGUAAAGCUCUUUUGUCAGGGAAGAAACGGUAGUAGCGAAUAACUAUUACUAAUGACGGUACCUGAAGAAUAAGCACCGGCUAACUACGUGCCAGCAGCCGCGGUAAUACGUAGGGUGCAAGCGUUAAUCGGAAUUACUGGGCGUAAAGCGUGCGCAGGCGGUUGUGUAAGUCAGAUGUGAAAUCCCCGGGCUCAACCUGGGAAUUGCAUUUGAGACUGAACGGCUAGAGUGUGUCAGAGGGGGGUAGAAUUCCACGUGUAGCAGUGAAAUGCGUAGAUAUGUGGAGGAAUACCGAUGGCGAAGGUAGCCCCCUGGGAUAACACUGACGCUCAUGCACGAAAGCGUGGGGAGCAAACAGGAUUAGAAACCCCAGUAGUCCC